CUCCUAUUUACCAGGACGUACUUUGCACUAUGAGCCAUUUUGUCAACUUCAUGAGAUUUGCAGUCAGAAAACACGGAAACAAAAGAGCAAUAUGAAGGUCUUUUAACCACUGACCAUUUACAUUUGUCAGCAUGACUGCUCCAUCCAUUAUUAUCAUUUCCCCAGCGCACAGCCCAGGAAAACUGUAGUUGCAUUAGAUCAAUAAAAAACUGAAUUCUCUUUUAAGACAGAGUCCUAUUGUGUAACUAUGUUGGGCAAAUGUAUAACUUGUCCUAUGAAAAGAAAUCCCAUACCUCAUUUGGUCAUAGUGCAUUGUGACAGAGAAACUAUUUGCUUCCAUUUUUAAGAAUCCACCCCCUUUCCUUUUAUGUAUUUUUCCCACCAUAUGAGAGAAAUUUAUAAAGGAACCCAAAAGUUGUUAUAAAUAUACUUUGCCAGCUCUCACCCCAAAAAAUACUACUGUGGCACUUUGCUCUUGCUAUACAGAGUUAGAAUAAAGGAAUGGGUUUUCAAUAUGCGUGGCUUUUAAGAGAGACUUACCUAGUAUAACUUUAUAAAUUCGAUAUCCUUUCAAAGCUAAAUUAAUCCUGGUCUUUCAGUUCAUUCUCAAAAGGUGUAAAGGAGAUACAUCCAAAUUCCUUUAUAUGCUAGCUAUAAAAAAAAAUUAGGUAGUACCUAACGUAGCACUUUAUUUUUUAAAAAAAUUUUCAAAUAGUCUGCAUAAUUAUCUCAUUUAGAUCUCCGCACCGCCUUAGGAGGAAAGCUGGAGCUAGCAUGGAAACAUUUUUGGGCCAACAAAUGUUUACCAAGAAGAAGCUGUAAGGUGAUCCUCCAGUACUGAACUUUGCUAGCCCUUUCUGUAAAAAAAAUUCCCCUUAUAACCAUGAGGUGACUUCCUGCAAGGUGAAAAGAAACGUUACUAAACACAAACAGCCAAACAAAUAAUUGCAACCCAUACACCUUGUCCUGGGCACCUCUAGGCUCUGGGGCCCAGUCAGCUGGGAAUCAGACGCCUGGCAUAAAACAUGCUUAAAGUCGCAGAAACUGAUGGCUAGAUUCACUAAGCAGAAACAGGCAAUACAUUUCUCUCUGGUCUUCCAGCCUAUACAUUUAACUGUUUUCUAUUUGGGGAUGGGGAGAAUAUUCUAAGUUUCACCCCUGUUUCUAUGGUCUUGACUUUCUGUCUCUAUAUGUAUGGGCUCUGCCUAUAUCUGGGGUCCAUUCCCUUUGUAGUUACUCAGGUACCAGUCUCUGGGCACAAGUCCCUCCAUAAAGGUCACCACCUCCCAAAGAGCUUCUCCAGUUCCCUCCCCACGUCCACAGCCUUAGAUGCUUACCUCUGUGGAAACAAUUCUCUCCUUCCAAUCUCCAGGGAAUAAACUCUUCGGAAGCCCAAAAUGUCUUAUUUGACCUGAAUGUGUGCCCUAUCCUUACAAUGCCUGGCUCAUGGAAAGCUCGCAAAUGAAUAAUAACAGUUAUCUUUGUAGUUAAGAUGUAUUAAAUGCUUAUUAGGAGUGAGGCUAAAUGAAUUCUUUCACUAAAAAUUCCUAACAAAACUGUGAGGUAGGUACUAUGAUCAACAUCAUUUUAUAAAUGAAAAAAAUUAGGCUCAGAAAGGUUCAGCAGCCUUUCUGAAGGUUCAGAAAGGAUUUUUUUUAAUAAUGUAAUGGUUAACAUUGAGCUCAGGUC
rnacentral:lncRNA from 1 species